rnacentral:rRNA from 1 species
UACAGAGGGUGCAAGCGUUGUUCGGAAUUAUUGGGCGUAAAGGGCGCGUAGGCGGUGCGGUAAGUCUGUAGUGAAAUCUCUGGGCUCAACUCAGAGUCUGCUGCAGAAACUGCCGUGCUUGAGUGUGGGAGAGGUGAGUGGAAUUCCCGGUGUAGCGGUGAAAUGCGUAGAUAUCGGGGAGGAACACCUGUGGCGAAAGCGGCUCACUGGAC